GGUUUCACUCCCCCACAAAAAGAAUACACUUUGAAUCCUAACCCAAAAUUCACCUUCCCUUUAAAACAAGACAGAUUAUAUCUUGGAUUUCUAUUCAAGCAAUUUAUGAUACACAAAAAGGAAAAAAAAAACAGCUAACAGUCAAGCAGUGUUUUUAUUGCCUUUUUUUUUAAUCUACUAGUUCCAAACCAGAUGCACUCAGUACAGAAUUCUGAUUAGGAAAAAAAAAAUGGCUGUUGAAUUUUUAUUAUUAUCUCCCUUAAGGACGAAAAGCGGUAACCCUAGGCAUUUAAAGUGUACUAUGAAUAACAAUACAUAUGAGAGUGUAAAAAGCUUGUUAUCUCUGUUUCUGGAAUUUUUUUACCCUGUUGAAACAUUUAUGGAAAGAAGUUGGGAAAUACAGUGCAGGGGGGGAGGGAGAAGAAGCUAUCAAAAUAACAAAUACCAUCAAAUAAAACCUAUUUUGAAAGGAAAAACCUACGCAGUACGAAAUUUGUGUGAACCAUGUCUCUUCGUUACCAGCCUGCAGCUCUCAUGUAGUCAGUGGAGUCUCAUUUAAGCUUAUAUUAAAAGCCUUCAUCUACAUACAUCUCACACAUCGAUACAAAUGCAGUUUGUAUUUAACCCUGACAAAUAACCACUCAUGAUAGCAACGUUCUGCAUACAUAGAUUUUCUUCUUUUAUAAACAACAUAAACACAAGUAAGUCCUUCUGGAUGUUUCAAAACAGCUCACUGGAUUCAAAGGUACGUCUUCUCUCCCAUCCCCUCACAUUAUGACCCAUAACCACCUGGCACAUAUUUGAAAGGUUUCCACCACAUAUCUCCCUGUUACAGGAUGACUUUCCUCCCCGUGUUAUAGUGCAACUUCAUCCCUACAGGGAGAAAAACCCCGUACAAACUGCAGCUAAGCAAUGCAGUCCUUUCUCCUUCAGAAACUGGCUUACAACCUCUCCAAAAAAAUGUAGGGAAGCUGUCAGAAUAAAAUUCUACAAACCAGCCAUUUGUGGCACUGGCAUGGUUUCCUUCUGGUAUUUAGGUAAGUCCAAAAAAUAAUUUUUUGAAGUACUUCUAUUGAAUCCUUCCCAUAUUUUCAGCUUUGAGAAUUCACAGGGACCAAAUCCGAGUUACACCGACUCGAGAGCCAGCAGCUUGUAAGAGUACAAAGAAAAUAAUGGAGGGAGGGUGAGACAACUGUGCGCAUCCCUCAGUUUUCAAACUUGCCUGUAAAAAGAAAAUGAGGAUAUGGCCAAAACACAGCAUGUUUCUGCUCUACUCGUGGCAAUAGGUGCAGCCUCCUCCAAUCUAUACUAAAUGGGUUGAUUCAAAGCCCAGAAAGGGGCCAAAAAAGUGAAUUAGUUUUUGUUCUUCUAUGCUAAAAGGAAGAACAGCUGAUGAAGACUUAGGGUCUUCUGUCAACUACUCUGGACAUUUACCAGGCCUUUUGCUGUCUUCUCCCAUUGAGAUCUGUCUAAGUUUCCCUAGGUUGGUGCCUUGGGAGACCAGAUGCAACAGUAAGCAUGAUGAAAAAAGAAAUUUGUUCUCUUCUGCUCCCUGUUGCAGGAUUCUUUCUCCAAGCGUUUAUUUUCUUCACCCUCUUCCAGGUUCAAGGAAGAGGACAGACAACCAAUCAAUGGCUGUCAGGUUUUAAGUCACUGAAAGAGCCACUUUAGUGGGAUGUGCCCUUGGUUAAGACUGGAACGCAUGGGAGCCUGACAGACAGUUUAGAGGAAAAGAAUCAUUAGAGCAUCCCACCAGCACAGAUGCAUUGCUGUAUCCUAAGCCAGAGCUCAGCUGUGUUAUUUACCCUAUGAGAUCGCAGCUGUCAACCUGGCCUGGCAUCACGACAGCCUACAGCGCAAAUGCCCUUAGCCAGCUGCUUGGAUUGAUGUACAAUUCCCUCUUUUUUAAUGAGAUUAGCGUUCACAAAAUGUGCUAGCUCGACAGGCAUGACAAUUUAAGUCCUCUGUUUGUUCGGGCUACAGCAGAUACAGCGGUCACUUUUAAAAUAAAACACAAUUUGAAAAGAUAACAUGAAUUCACCAGAGCUCCUGCAGUUGCUCGUUAAUCACAGGAAGAAGAGUUUCUUAUAGAUCAAUUAGGAAUGGAAAAGGACUGGAAAGGAUGCAUCUUGAAACCGUGGUAAGCGUGUAAACUUAGCAACCUACCUCCUUGCGACUAGUGUGAAGGAUCUAUUUGCCAACAAGAAAAAAAACCACCAAACAACAGAAGAUUCCAGUUUCCUGUCCAUUUCAGUCAUCAGACAUAUCUGCCGCAAUUAACACCAAAAUCGUUAAAAAAAAAGAAGAGGGGAGGUUAUGUUAAAUGCCGGACGGAUGGGAGGGUUCAAUAACACAGAGGUACUGCUAUAACUAUGGAUUAGUAAAAUGAUUUUUGCUUAUGCUUUUUUCUAAAAAAAAAAAAAGCCAGUGAAGUUAAAGUUGAAACAGUUAAAGUCAUAUGUUCACUAUAAAGACGUAAAACAUUAUUGCCAUGAAUAAUCAGUUCUUUGUUUAGAAUGCAUUUUUAAGCAGAAUGAUGAAAAUUUGGGCUCUUCUUACAGCACAAAGCAAUUAAAACGAUAAGACACAAUCAGCUUCCCUUGCAAGGAAAAUGACAAAUUCUCUUCAGUGUAUUGUAUCAAUGAUGUGCAGAUUGCAGUCUCUAACAGGACACAGCGGGGCCAUUAUCAUCUGUUGUCACCAUGUACCAUUAAAAGGUCCUUAAUCUGCAGAUUGCCACCACAAUACGCUGCUCCUGCCAGGGAUCUGCUGAGUAACAGGCCAGGACGUUGCGAAAACCUCCAGCCUCCAGGGUCGCCUGAAAAACCCGGCUCCCCGUCAGUCAAUCACUGCAACUCAAUUAAUGUAUCUGGGUCAUAAAAAUGGUUUACGGGAGCCUGAGCCGGGUUACGAAACGCAGCGCCGAGGAUCUACCGGGAGGCGGGAGAACCCAGUUCUCAACACCAGCGCCAGUUUCUGUCUUGGAGUCCUUGAAACAUCUAGACAUUUUCUUAAGAUUUCUUCUAAGGCUGUCCUGAAGCAUGUGCACACAGAACUGGGGAUCCUGGCCUAUUCUCUAGAACUGGCAGAAAUUACCUUUUGUCAUCGUAGGUUUGUAAGUUUUCACACAAGAAGUAGGGGCAAGCAAGGAACUUACGGCUUUUCUGUCAUGCAGGUGCAGUUAUCCACUUAGGUGACAGAUGCAGGCUCCUGAUUGACAUGUAACUGCUUAUUGUGCAGUAUUUUCAGGGACUCCUUAACGUCCUCAGCUUAUGGGUAGAAGGACUGGGAAAGCUCAGGAGAGAAACAGCUGAUGGACUAUGGAUGACACAAAUGCUACUGAGGGAGAUCAGGAUGAGGAACUUCCUCUACAAUGGAAAGUAAUAUUACAUUAGUGUUAUAACAGUAUAGGAUGAGGUGAAGCAGCAUAGGAAGAGAGUCAUGUCAGGGACCUGCCAGUCAUUAACUUCAGGGUACAAGUUGGCAGGACAUGAUUCCCAGUGAGAAGGUGAAAGAAGAUACCCUGGGAGACCCAGAGGAAUCCCUACUUUAUACAGUACAAAGGAGGACAAGAGACCGUGUGAAGAAAGUCACAGAGGCCACAAUCAACCCAAGAGCUCUUCAAUAAAUAGCCACGCUCAAGGUGUCGAAAUGAGACCAUGCACAGUGAAAGGAACUUUGACGUACACUGCAUGAAUUUUCAGCCAAUGUGUUUUCUCUUUAUCUGGUGCCUACUUUUCCUUCUCCUCCUCUAAACAAUGACUCCGCUUCAUGUCUUCAGAAUUUUUAAAGAUUUUUAAAGUAGCUGUUUAUUUUACAAUAGUAUACUAGUGAUAAAAAGAGAAAAAAAUACAAUUUAAUAGUCAGCAUGUUUUGGCAAAUAUAAUCAAGCUGUAUGAAGUAAUAACAUUUAAAAAGUAAUUCAUUAUAGAUAAACUGUAGUGACAGUAAAUCUUAAAACAACCAAAGAAACAAGACUGAUACUUAAAGUGUACCUUGUGUCCACCUCAGUGCCAGUAUAGGCAGAGCUCUUGAUUUUCAAGGACAGUUUGUUGCAUGGCUCAUACAGGUAUCUGUUACAUGAGCAUGCAGAAAAUCUAGCUCUAUCUUAGAGGAUCAGCUGUUGUUUUUGAAGCAGAUUCCUUUCCUGUGAUGCUAUGGAAUGGAGCGAAUGUGAGCUGCUCACUCAGACACUGUUUGCUUCUUGGAUGAGCUCAGAGGUGGACAAGAGCAGCUCUUUUUUCCUUGUGGAGGAUUUUUUUCUUUGUGCCCCUGUCCUUUCCUUCUAGAAGAGCAAUCUGAGCACUGUGUCCUGGAGACACCCUUUGCUAUCCUUCCCAGGUUCCUUCAGGGAGUAGCCUCAUUUCCUCCACAACCAUAUGACAAUUUUCUAAGCCAUUGUGUGAGGAGCUCUGUUUCUCCAAAUGGAGGAGCAGGAAACAGGUGGGAACUCAAUCCAUGUCAGUCUUACUAGCCAUAACAAGCACUGCCUGUCAGGCCCGUAGCACACCCUUCUACCCUUCUUAGGGUCUUGACCUCUUGGGCUCAAUGCCAGCUUAGAUUAUGGGUGGGAGACAUCAGGUCUUGAAUCAAAGAGGUGUUUGAGAAAAAGCUGUGCGAAAAAAAAAAAACCUUGGUGGAAAAGGCUGACCUUCUCUCAGGAAGUGUUUCUUAGCUGGUCAGUCUACCCAUGCUCUCUGUCUGAGCUGCAUUGUCACCACAUUGCAGUCGCGUCCAUGUCCAUUCCUGUGCUCCAAGCUGGCCACCCACUGUAGAUGCACUCAGGUCAGGGACUGCAAGAAGCAUACACAGCUUGUUCGCAUGGUCUCCCUGGCGCUGGAAAAAAAGCACCAUAUGUUCAAGCAACAGGAGCAAAAGGACAAGCUCAAGGCAAAGGGAGUUGAGAGCAGAACGGCAGGGAAGUGCACAGGAAAGGUGCCAGGACAUCAUGCUUCAUGCUCCCCCAUUCCUCUUUAUGGGGCACUGGUGGAUAAUGCACAGCUACCUCCUGCCCCUGCAGCUCAAAGCUUCUCCCACUUCACUUCCUGAUAUCCUGCUCCCAAGGUAGCUAUUGCGUAUAGGCACCUUCGCAUCUCUCUUACCAUUUCUGGGCAUCAUCUCCUCCAUCUGUCUUUGCCUUACAGUCUUUCAUAGCCCUUUGCUGCCUUAGUUGCCUGCUCAGCCCACUGCGCAGGUGACACUAAUAGUAGUAUUAGCAACAAACACUAUGGCGAGGAGAUCAGGUCCUCUAUAUGUGCUGUUGCCCCAGCACAGAGCUCGGCAGGCACCAGUACCUCUGUUGCUGACGCAUAAGGCACAAAGGUUGCCUGCAUCGCUGGCCAUUCACACUGGGUCUGCUGGAACCAGACUUGGACUGUAUAUGCUCUAGAUUUUUGAUUAGCACUCGAUCAACUAGGACUCUCCUUUUUUUAACAUGUAUAGUCCAGACUGAUAAUGUUUGGUAACAGCUCAUUGCCUUUGAAAUGUAUGGUUCUUUUACAUGUUUGUCCUGAAUUGGAUACAUUUGUUAUUGUUUCUGUUCCUUUUUUUUUUUACUGGCAACCAACAGAAAUAUACAUGUGUUUGGAACUGAGAUAAAAGGUUUAUUGACUCAUUUGAUAGAACUUUUAUUGAUGUAAAAGUCACUUGUAUUCAAUGCUCAGUCUCACAUGGUGAAGCACAAAAAAAGGAGCCUAUGUAAACAUCAGCACUACAAUAUACCGUGGAAAUGAUCCCUGAAGACCUCCCUACACUUUCCAGAUCAUCCUGGGGCUUCUGACAUGGUGCUCAGGAGUUACAGAGCAGCACAAGAACAUCCCAUGUCUUCUUGCCAUCAUGCCGUCUUCAUGGAUGAGGGAAACAGUGUGCCAUUGGUCCCUGGGAGUCUGCAGGCAUCUCAGUGACACUCACGUGAAUGUCCCCCAUGGGGAAGAGCUCAGCAAGUCUCAUAUUCAUCACUUUGGUGCCUUGAGAACCUACAGGCUUUAGAAAAUGAACUCUCGCUGUGGGGGUUUUUUUUCCAUUUCAGGGAAGCAAUGUGCUUGUUUUCCCCCCAGCUUGCAUUUUACAAGUCCUCUUCAAGACCAAGUCCAGCCUGCAGACAUGUGCAGGAUCUUUUAUCCCACAGGCCACCUUUGGGAAGGUCAUCACAUGAGGGCUGCACAAUGUAUAUGUGUGAAGAAACCACAUGGGCCACACAAGUCAUACAAAUCUAAACUAAAUAACAUACUGGGUUUACUAAUUUCUGGUCAUCCCAGAAGCACAGCAAAGGCCUUUAUAAUACUUAUGAAUUACUGACAGGAUAUUAUUGUGAUGCAGGAGCUGGACAAAAAUGAAAACCAUGGGAAAGAAUGUCACCAUUUCCAUGCAAGAAUGAGAGAAACAGGUGUACCUUUCAGGGACAUAUUUUGAUGCAGGUUUCAUUUUUUAGCACCUGGAUAACACUGUUGACAUCCAAAGCAUUGCUGUAAUCAGUGUUCCACAUUUACUUUCUCCUGAAGAUUUUUCUAACAAAUUGGGUCAACUUCUAAGUAAAGAAAGAGAACAUUUUAAUCUGUCAGCACUGCAAACCUAGCCCAGGAUUUUGUGUUUAGAAAUGUUGUGGACUCCGAAUUUAGCAAGUACUGUUAUUGGUGAAUAAGGUGUGAUGGUAUACAAUCUAAAACCCUAUCAUUUCUGCUUUGCUUGGCUUACCAUUAUUUUAGCAAAUGUUUUACUUUGUUAGGGUAAUUGGAGCAAAUAAGAGCUCCAUAAAGAUGCUUUUGCCAACCUUGAAAAUAAAAAAUACACCAACAUACUACCAGGUUUUUAAGCAGUAGCAUUUGUCACCUUUAUAAAGAUACUCUCUGUUAUAGACAUGAAUGCAGAUCAUAAAACUACUCUGACCAGAUCUGCAGAGGAAUCAAACAGAUGGCAGAUCCCAGUGCAGUUUGGAUGAAGAUUUCAUAGCUAGAUGAGCAAGAGAAUACUAAAGUGUUUUCAAGGUCAGCAAUGAGGUGAAAAUUGUGGCCAGAUUUCUUCUGUUAGAAGCAUGUGCAGCCUUUCUCACACAUUUAAAGGAAAUGCACCAAACCCAGAAAUUGCUUCACUACCGGGAGCAAAUGCCCUCAGUGCAAAAUGAUCCCGGCCAAAUGCCGGGUCCUGCUCUUGGGGCAUAAGAACCCUAUGCAGUGCUACAGACUAGGGGAAGUCUGGCUAGAAAGCUGCCUGGAGGAGAAGGACCUGGGGGUGUUGGUUGACAGUGGCUGAACAUGAGCCAGCAGUGUGCCCAGGUGGCCAAGAAGGCCAAUGGCAUCUUGGCUUGUAUCAGAAACAGCGUGACCAGCAGGUCCAGGGAGGUUAUUCUCCCUCUCUACUCGGCACUGGAGAGACCACACCUUGAGUACUGUGUUCAGUUCUGGGCCCUUCACCACAAGAAGGAUGUUGAGGCUCUGAAUCGUGUCCAGAGAAGAGCAAUGAAGCUGGUGAAGGGGCUGGAGAACAAGUCUUAUGAGGAGCGGCUGAGAGAGCUGGGGUUGUUUAGCCUGGAGAAGAGAAGGCUGAGGGGAGACCUUCUUGCUCUCUACGACUACCUGAAAGGAGGUUGUGGAGAGGAGGGAGCUGGCCUCUUCUCCCAAGUGAUAGGGGACAGGACAAGGGAGAAAGGGAGAAUGGCCUCAAGCUGUGUGGGGGGAGGUUCACGCUGGAGAUCAGGAAAAAAUUUUUUCUAUGAUUCUAUGAUAUUGCAACAGUGGGAGAAUUCACUUGCUAACUUACAUUUUCAAAAUGCAUAUUCUACACUACUGUUUUUUCAAAUAGUUGUUCAUGACUAUUUAUGUGUUUGUGCAUUUUCUUUAAGUCAGUCAGAUUUGCAGGUGGUCAUACAACAGUUUGUAAAUAAUAUUGGUGGUGAAUUUUGGCAACAAAAAUGAUUUGCAAAUAAUGGUUACUGUUAUUCAAUUAGUUCUGGGCCCAAUAUGCAUCUAGAGCUGUUGGUAGCUGAUUUUUCCUCUAUGCUUCUGUCUUUUAUGCCCCCACAAAUCUCUGAAUCAGUAGUUAUGGCUUUAAAUGGAAAAUUUCCUCAUUGAUUUGUUGUGUUCUUUUUAAAAAAAAAAUCCCUAUCAAUCUGACUUGUGAUAUCCAUCAGGCUCAACUACACAGAUCUGCAGGUUGUAUUUCUCUCUUGUUUAUGUCAUUAGUCUGGUUUUAGUUAAUUUUCACUCCAGAUGUCUCUUGUGCCUGGUUUGGUUUUUUGGUUUUUUUUCUGUUUAACAGGAUAUAAAUAACUUUGAUAGGCCAGAGUAGUUUACUCUGUUUUUCUUGUUUAAUUUCUGAAUACAUUUACCAGAACCUGAUCCCUCAUCAUCACGAAAUAUCUUUAACUGCCUUACGACAUGGAUUUCACUACAGUUAUUCACUUGCGUAAACUAUGCACAACCGACUGAAUAUUCAGGCUUGUAUUCUGAGUGUUCAUCUCUUCUCUCAUUAAAGGCUGAAGACCUGCUCUGGCAAGGGUUGAGUUCUGGACCUAUGAGAAACACAAAGACUCUGGUUCAGCGUGGCUGAAAGAGUGGAUGUGUGUGACUCCUACUUGCUAGAUUAGGCUGUUAUCUUCGUAAAGCGAUGCUAAGCUGAAUCAUUUUUAGUAUCUCCCUUCCAUGACAGGCAAAGGUUUUGGCUUUUACGCAUUAUCAGUGAAAGAGGUGUUGUACAACAGCAUUAGUAGACCUGCAGUGGGGCAGCUGCCAAACGAAUCAGUUCUGUGCUGCAUCAUCUUCUGCUGAAUCACUUCUAGAGCCAAGGUUUCUCUUUGAGGGGGUGGAGGUCAAGCUAGCUUCUCCAUUUCUUUUCCUGCAGGAGUUUCUGAAAAAGGGUGGUUUUGAUGCAGUGGUGUCAAUCAUACCUCAGUGGGCUGGAACAGAUGCCCACAACACGUCUUCAGUUAUGGGUGGGCUAGAUUCCUUAGCAUAUGGAUAUUUAGCUGCUGGAUUAUAUAAAACACUGCAGCAAUCAAAUACUUCCUGCUGCUCUUCCAAAGAACUACUCCAAGGACAUUCACA